GACAGGUUCAUGGAGCGGGGUCGUCAGUCGCUCUGCAGGUCGGGCUUGUGCUCGCAACGCUCCUGCUGUUCGCACUGGGUGCUGCACUCUUUGUCUUCUUGUACAAAAAAAGGCGUCCUGCUGACUACCUCUCCAUGCAGCUGAGCGAACAGGCCGAGACGCCGCUCGAUCUCUAGUGUGUUUGCAUGAGCAUGCGUGUGAGUGUGGAUGAAUUUAUGCAGGAUCAUGAGUGU